CUCUCAAGCCUCCAAGCAAUAGAAGAGAUCCAUCGAAGCAUAUUCUAACACGAUCCCCCUAUAGAGAAGACCCCGAAAUUCAUCAACUUAAACACACGACGCCAGAGAAUACAAGUUUCUUUUUUAACUGGGAUAUUACCUCGGCGGGCCGGUGAGUGACGGAGUUGACGAAAAAAAAAACCAAUCAAUGGACGUGCCUUCUGCCGCCUUUUUUGUUCCCCCGGACGCGGGCGUCUGCUGAUGGAUAUCGCGUGCAAGUCACGAGGGCUCCUAGUAGCCGGAGCCAAU